UACGUAGGGGGCGAGCGUUGUCCGGAUUUAUUGGGCGUAAAGAGCGUGUAGGCGGCCAGGUAGGUCUGCUGUGAAAACUCGAGGCUCAACCUCGAGACGUCGGCGGAAACCAUCUGGCUAGAGUCCGGAAGAGGAGAGUGGAAUUCCUGGUGUAGCGGUGAAAUGCGCAGAUAUCGGGAGGAACACCGGUGGCGAAGGCGGUUCUCUGGGCCUUACCUGACGCUGAGGAGCGAAAGCGUGGGGAGCGAACAGG
rnacentral:rRNA from 1 species